GGGAAAGAAAGAGAGGAAGGAAGGAAGAGGAAGAGAGAGAAGGAAGAGGAAGAGAGAGAAUAGAGGAAGAUGAGAGGAGAUAAUAGAGAGAGUUAUCUUUGUACUCCUAUUAUUUCAGAUUAUAAUGAAAGCAUCACAGCUGCCCCGAGGACGUACUCCAGUCACACUGACUGUAGAGGAACCUCGUAAAUUUUGUGUCUUGUUUCAUUUAUUCCACUGCACCCACCGUCGAUUUUACAACACGUUAACAGCACGAGAAGCUCUCAUGUCGGUGGAAAGCACUACUUACCUCUCACCUCUAUCGGCUGGAAUCUCACAGAUAAGAAAAUCUUUUCAUUUCAUUCUUAUAUCUCUAAAUGACUAAUUUUCUUAAAGUAAAUAUACAUGUGGUUAUAUAAGUAUUGUUAUUAUUAUUGGCAGAAAAUCCGACAAUCAUAUGAGCUUUGAAAACUUCAACUUCCAGUGCUCAUACAGAAACCAUUCCUUCAUAAACGUUGUUCCUUAUCCUCUCUCCCAUAACAUACCAAAAUUCCAGAACCAUCCAACGGUUAAAUCAUUCCAGAUCUUAGAAAUAAUACUACAGACUCAAAAUUCGCAGAAAAUUUGGCAGCCAUGUAAAUAGCCACUGAACUCCAACUUCCUGACAUCCGAUUGAAAUACUUUCUUCUUGAAAGUUGUUUGUCCGCCUAGUACCUAGAACAUAUCCAAAUUUCAGAAAUUGUCAACGGUGCGAUCGUCGUAGAUGACUGAAACUUCAACUCAGCUUCCAUUUCCGCAGAAAACUGGACAGCCAUCUUAUGAGUACCAAACCUUCAUUUUCAGAAGCUCAGCUCGAAACUGUUUCUUCAUGAAAGUUGUUUGGUAUCUUCUUAUCCAUAUCAUACUAAAUUUUGAGUUAAAUCUAACGGUUUGAUCUUCUUAUAAGUGGCAGACAAAGAAAAGUGAUUAUUUUGGGUAGUUGAAAAGAAAGCUCGUCCAACUGCAAGAAUCCGAAAGUCGGAUUCAAAGUGAUCACCAGAGGUUCGUUGCUAGAUUCCGAAAGUAACUGAUGCCUUCCCCUUCUGGUGUUUUGCUAAGUACUGGGGUGCCACAUGAUCAAUCUCCAGUGCCUCCCCCUUCUGGGGUACUUCCGAGUACUGAGGCUUCACAUGAGCAACAUUUGUGAAGGCUCCAUCCUGUUUGUUUGUUUUAACUCAUGUGUAUGUAUAUAUCUGUAAUUUCUUGGAGAUAUUAAUAAACAAGCUUUAUUUACUUUAAAGCAAUUUAUUUACCAUGGACGGUUUUACCACCUAUUGCUUUAAGUUUUGAUGGUGCUGAAUUAAAGCCCUUGUCACAAGCUUUAUUUACUUAAAUGCAAUUUAUUCAUUAUGGCUGGAAUUACCGUCUAUUGCUUUAAUUUAUUUAUUGUACUUAUCUUUUGUUACAAUGAGUAUAACAAGAACCCAGAGUUCCUUGAUUAGAUCAGAACCUGCAGUUUCUUGAUCCUCAUCACAUAAAAUGAUAGGACCCGAAGUUCCAUCAUACAAAAAGAUCAGGCAUGAAGUUCUUUGAUCCUGAAGAUCAGGACAUGAAAUUCCUUGAUGAGUACCGUAAGUUUGAAGUGCCACAGUGCCUCAACUUAAUUAUAAUAAAGGUCAUAAAAGUCUCAGUCCAUAGAUUAUUUAAUAAGGACCAGAAGUUCCUUAUGUCCAUACUUAAAAUGGUUUAGCAGAAGCAUUUAUUAAGCGGAUGAAAUUGAUUACCCGCGCUCUGCUCAUGAAAACGAAAUUACCAGUUUUCUACAUGGGGACAUGUCAUUUUACAUGACGCAUUAUUAAGUUCGGAUGAGACCAGUUUCCAACCAUCAAUACUACUCAGUACAACUUGUGUUUGGGCACAAGCCAAACAUUAUACAGUUAUGAGUUUUUGGUUGUGUUAUCAAUGUGCCUAUUGCAUUGCCACAACAUACUAAAAUAAGGCAUCAACGCAAAACUGGAAAUUUAUGUUGGAUUGAUUCAUCAUCUAUCAUUCAAUAUUUAGAACCCUUGACUGGGGAUAUAUUUACCGCUUGGUUUGCGGACUGUCAUUUUGAUAAGACAAUUUUCCUGACAUUAGGGGGAGAAAAUAAUAUCGUUCCAGAAGAACGAUGAGAAAAUAUCAUUCCAAAAGAAUGAUGAGAAAAGACCGUUCCAGAAGAACGAAGAGAAUUUGUCUUAUUUUGAUUCACGAAGCAAUCAAUAAGAAAUGAAAUAUGAAUAAUUGAAUGAUGCAACGAAAGUGAUGAAAUCAUAUAUACUUACUGCAAAUGUGCCUACAAGAAUUGAUGUCUCUGUUGGAUAAAAUAAUGAGACAGUAAAUGAUUUAUAUGUUGCACGCCUGAAGCGUGGCAGAUUUUUAAACUCAAAAGGUUCAGUUAUUCGAAAGAAGAAUAAUAUGGCACUACUGAACUAUUGCAUUCCCGAAGCAUAACUGUUGCAUGCCAGAAGCAUGACAGUCGCCGCGUGGAUACACGUCCCAGAUAGGACAAUCCACAGACAUGGGAAUAUUGAUGUCUCAUGCAUGAAGCAUGAUUGAUGUAUAGGUUCUAAAUGACUCAACUCUUGGAAGUGGAGAUUAAAAUCCAAGCUCUAUAACGCUCAAGAAGAGGUUAUGAUCCGCAUUCUCUAAACUAUGACUAUCCUGGAAGAGAUAGUGUAAUGCCCUUGAAGAGGCAAUGGAUAUCCAAAGAAAUGAAAAGCUUUUAUGCAUGUGCAUGCACAUGAGAAUAUGGGAUCACAGAUUGAUGAUAACCAAUGGUAAUUUUGGUUUUUACAAGUAGCUACUAAAUUCAUCAAUGAGCUGUGUUAAUAUUGAGUCACGUUCUUUUGUUCGUCGACAAAAGGAAAAUUAUUGGCCAAAAUGGAGAAAGGCAAUUCCAUUACAAUUUUGUAAGAACGUGGAAAAAUGGAUCUAUAUAUUUGAAUGUAAUACAAAUAGCCAAAAGAUGUUGAACCAAGGAGAUUAUAUAUAUGGGCAUUUGUAAUACAGUGUAAUACACUUACAUGAUAUGACACAAGGUUGUAAAUGAGUUCAUAUAAAUGGAGAAUUAUAUAUGAAGGGUUGUGAGUCACCCACAUCAUAUCUCCAUAAGUAAAUCCCUCAAAUAUACAUGGGAGCAAAUUGCUCUGUAUAAAUUCCAAAGGAAAAUGUGUCAUGAAGUGUAGAAAAUCCCUGAAGGAUUCAAAUUGCUUGAAGUAAGCCCCCGAAGGGUAAAACAUAAAUUAUGAACUCAAUAUCAAUGGAUGAUAUAAAUUGCCUUAGUGAGUACUAUCAUUAUGAUAUUGUUGCAAUAUACUAAAAUCUCUUGCAAGAGUCAAUGACAUUAAAUUAGAACUCUUGAAGAGUUGAUGAUAUUAAAUUGGGACUCCUGAAGAGUCUAGAAAAAAUUAUAAAGUGUUGAAGGAAUUAUUGUCUCGAGCUGCAGAUCGAACAAUCUACCAACACGAAUCUUAUCCAUGAUAUUUAUGAUAUUAAAAGAACCAUAUGGAUUGAAGAUUAUGAGUUGAAUACUCAUAUGAUGAAGACACUAAGAAUAAUCAUUUAUCUUCGUGAGGGUAAAGAUUAAAUAAUACUUGGUCCAGAAGUACCACAUCUUAGUGAAGUAUAUGCUUUAUUGUAUUUGGCACAAUACAUUGAAUGAAAUAAAGCUUAUUUAUUAAUAUCUCCAAGAAAUUACAGAUAUAUACAUACACAUGAGUUAAAACAAACAAACAGGAUGGAGCCUUCACAAAGGUUGCUCAUGUGAAGCCUCAGUACUCGGAAGUACCCCAGAAGGGGGAGGCACUGGAGAUUGAUCAUGUGGCACCCCAGUACUUAGCAAAACACCAGAAGGGGAAGGCAUCAGUUACUUUCGGAAUCUAGCAACGAACCUCUGGUGAUCACUUUGAAUCCGACUUUCGGAUUCUUGCAGUUGGACGAGCUUUCUUUUCAUGCUCGUAGAGUAACUAUUUGCAAGCACGUGUAACACCCUAUUCUCGUGCUUGAGCCCUUUGAUCUCUUGUUUAAGACUUGCCACCUCUGCCAUCAAUGAUUCAACUUGGCGAGUUUGAGCAAGUAGGCGUUGGCCCAUAUUGGACACAGAGCCAACACACUGAACACUGAGAGCCAAUGAGUCUUGAACAGCCGACUCUUCAGACCGUUCUGAAAGGAUCUUGUUAUCCCUUGGAGUGAGAAGAUUCCUAGCUACCACAGUAGCGGUUAUGUUAUUCUUCAUCACAGAGUCACCAACCGUAAGAGGACCAUUAGAAGAUAAGAAGGACGGGCGCCAUAUAUUAUCAUGACGCUGCUCGUCUGUAUCACUCCUAAGACUCAAAUCUAAGCAAAUGUUAGAUGGGCAAGUCAUUUUUCAGAAAUGAUGAAGGAAAAACAGAGGUCAAAUAAAAUUUCAGAAGUGCAAGAAGGUGGAAAUUUCUCAGGCAGCAAUUUUCUGAGCAUACCCUUGAACACAAUUGAUGUCUCUAUAAAAGAAGAGGCAGCAGAGCCACUUGUUCAAAGAUCGAAGAGGCACCGCUCUCCGAAUUUCAAAAGCCAGAUUUUCCUGAAUAAAGUUCGUUGGCAUUUUUCAGACGUAAUCCCCAACUUUUUCAGAUGUCGCGUGCAAUUUUGUCAAAGAUCUCUGACAAAGUUGAAAACGCGUAAAUCUUACUGUUCUAUUUACACCACAGUUGCUGACAAGAGUAAAAAGCACAGCACCACCACUUGCUAUUGAGAAAUCUCUAUAUAUGUCGACCUCUGUUCUCCAUAACAAGGCAGACCCGCAACACUGCAAGAAUACCUAACUCUUCCUCAUCUCCGAGAAUGCAUCUUCAACAUAGCAUCUCGAAAUACUCAGUUUUCUUCCUCUCCGAGAAUACCUCUUCAAACAUGUCACACCAGAGCAAGAUUAUCACAUAUCUUCAGGGACCAGAGCAAGAUUAUCUCAUAUCAUGCAAUCUCCCUGUCCUUUCCUUUGUCCAUGUUCUUGCCUGCGAAGACAAGGAUAAAGAAAGCAAUAUGUCGAAACCUCCACUCAAACUCCCGGUAAGGAACCGACUGCCUGGAACCUUUCCUGAUUGCUUACCUAAUGUUGCUCUCGAGUAGUCAUCUUCAACGGUUGGAGCUGGGUCUCCAGUCACCAAGAAGUGAUGAACCAUCCAAAUGCAAGGGUUGCACUCCACUCCGGCAUUAGAGGGCAAAUACUGCCGGAGAAGAUGCCACACAUGCAUGGGGGAAAAGCAGGGAAAAUACUACUUAAGCAAGGGGAGCAAGUAAGGAAAGUAAAAAUGAUACAUUGAAGCAUGUGGAGACAAGCGCAACAAACGCGUGCUGAUUCAUCCCUGACAAAACUGAAGAUCACUUGCCACAUGAAGCUCCUCAUGGUCCAAUUUCAUUCAAGAUCAAGCAUCGAAGGUCCUUGAAGAAAUCACAAGUCCGAUUCAAUAUCAAGUGUUCACUACUCUUGAAUCAAAUUUCGCUCCAGAUAAAAGGAGUAAAUUCAGACAUUUGGAUGCUAGUCUAGCAGAAAGUCCUACAACCCAGUUCAAGAAAAAGCCUGUGGAAAGUUAACAACAAGUAAAGCAACUCUUUCAGCAACUCUUCUUACUAAGAGACUAAAUCAGAACGAUCAACGAUCAACCUAAAUGAUUUGAAAUCAGGGGGAGAUACUCAUCAGGGGGAGCAUCCAAGACAGAUCAAGGUUUUAACGAGUCAAUCGAAGACUUGUGGCCAUCCAAGGGGGAGUGUUGUAAAUAGUGUGUGGAUGGUCCACAUGAAUAGUUUGUUACUAUUUAUGCACAGUAUUUUCACUAUUCAUUUGUGGAAAAUUUGUAAAGUGAAUAGUGCUUUCUUUUGUUUAUAUAAAGGAAGAAGAGGAAUGAAGUGAGGGAAGUUCACGGGAAAGAAAGAGAGGAAGGAAGGAAGAGGAAGAGAGAGAAGGAAGAGGAAGAGAGAGAAUAGAAGAAGAUGAGAGGAGAUAAUAGAGAGAGUUAUCUUUGUACUCCUAUUAUUUCAGAUUAUAAUGAAAGCAUCACAGCUGCCCCGAGGACGUACUCCAGUCACACUGACUGUAGAGGAACCUCGUAAAUUUUGUGUCUUGUUUCAUUUAUUCCACUGCACCCACCGUCGAUUUUACAACAAUAAUAUAGAUAUUGAAUGGAUG
rnacentral:lncRNA from 1 species